AGUUGUGAAGAUAAGAAUAGGUUCCUUCUGAGAAUUGCACGAGCCUGAUGCCACCAACAUCAUUCCUGAAGAAGUUUUAUGGAGGAGAAGACCAGUUUUCAAGAUGUGGUCGGUGAUGGAAGGGGACGUUGGAACAAGAGCGGCGGCUAGGUGAAUAAGGCUUCACGAUUCAACUUCACAUAAGUGUAUCACAUAGAUAAGUUCAAAAUUGCUGCUGCAUACCAAAUAGUGGAAGCUACGUUAAACAAGGAUCUGUUAAUCCCAAAGGAUAACUGAAACAUUCCUCGUCUUGAUUUCGUUAAUUCCUCAAAGUAAAAGCUGAAACAAGGUUUAAGAUCGGUAUCAAACGCAAAUCAGCAACACAAGAGAUUUGUUCACUCGAUGUUCGCUAAGCUACUCACUUGGGAGGGAAUCAAAAUCUCUCAACUGAUCACUAUCAAUAUACUCAAGGUUACAAGAUCAAAACAAUGAAGAAUGUGAAAGAGAUUACAGGGGAUCACCGCUUGCUGAUCAUAUCCUCUGUGAGAUCUGAAAGUCAUCGCCGGGAAGGUAUGACUAACCGUUUACCACUUUCGCAACUCCGUCGAUCCUCACCUUCACGACUCAAGCUAAGUUGAUUGCCUUCUCUCUUCUCUCUCUGUUUCUCUGAAUUGUUUCUCUCUCUUGUUCAACGUGAUGAUGAUGACAGCUCACGAGUUUUUUUUAUAACAAACUCUUCCACUAUCAACUUCUGAAACUCAUCAUUUCAUUUAUCACGCAGACUUGGAGAGACUUUGGGCUGAGACUUGGGCUUUCUUUCUUUCUUGCAGGUUUCAGACGAACUAGGCCGUGGAACACGAAGCCCAUUCGGUGUUAGGCUGAACUAAACCCACAAUCUCAACCUUUCAGAGAUAACACCGAAAUUCUCUCUCUCUCUCUCUCUCUCUCUCUCUCUCUCUCUCUCUCUCUCUCUCUCUCUCUCUCUCUAUCUCUCUCUCUCUCUUCGAAACCCUAGCCUCCAUUCUCUCCCCUUUCUCUUUAAGACGAUUUGUCGCCUCCAUCAUUUAUCGGAGCUGUUCCGACGAUUUCCUGAGCUUCUCUUCGCUCCUCUGACUCCUGAGAACCCUUACAAAUGCCAAGACUCAGUCACAAUUUCUGAUCAGAAAACUUUGAAUGACUCGGAAACUGAACCGACGAUUCUUCAAUGAAUCUGCAUGAGCCCGAUCUGAACCAGACUGCCUCUGGAUCAACCAUCUGACAUCAAAAGCUUCAACCUUUUCAAAUCACGGAACCCAGAUAACUCUUCCCUGACCUUACUCUUUCCGAUGAACACAUAACAUUUCCUGAUGUACUGAUGUUGAUUGUAGAAACCUUUUCUUAAUCUGAUCUUUCUUUGUUUUCAGGAAACCCGAAAAUACUCCACCUGAAACUGUUCAUGCACCUACAGAGAUCUCCACCUCGCUUCCAAUACUCGGGUAACCAACAACGGAGACACAUCGUUACCGAAGCCGCUUCUUCUUCAGAACAGGUUCACCAGUUCAGGGAAAAGCCUGAACUUCGGAUCAGCUUCUGUAGCAGCCAUGUACUCCGCCUCACAUGAAGAGAGUUCUACAGUGGGUUGCUUAGACGAUAUCCAUGUGAUCGGUGAUGUUCCAAGGUAGAACAUAAACUCUUUCGUGCUUCUUCCAUAAUCAACAUACUAGAUUUUGACCCGUGCUUGGAAGCGCGGGUUUUCUUUGGAUUGUAAUCAAAGUUUCUUAAUAAAUAUUUUAGAAUUCUUGUAUAUUAUUAUGUUAUAAAAUCUUAUUAUAUCGAAAAAGAAAUUUGUUUAAAAUAUAAAUCUAAGAAUUAGUUUAUUUAAGAUUUCAU